UACAGAGGGUGCGAGCGUUAAUCGGAAUUACUGGGCGUAAAGGGCGCGUAGGCGGGAGAUUAAGUCAAAUGUGAAAGCCCUGGGCUUAACCUGGGAAUGGCAAGUGAUACUGGUUUUCUUGAGUAGGGUAGAGGGAAGUGGAAUUUCCGGUGUAGCGGUGAAAUGCGUAGAUAUCGGAAGGAACACCGGUGGCGAAGGCGGCUUCCUGGACUCAUACUGACGCUGAGGCGCGAGAGCGUGGGGAGCAAACAGG
rnacentral:rRNA from 1 species